AUUGAACGCUGGCGGCAUGCCUUACACAUGCAAGUCGAACGGCAGCACGGGUGCUUGCACCUGGUGGCGAGUGGCGAACGGGUGAGUAAUAUAUCGGAACGUACCUUAUUGUGGGGGAUAACGCAGCGAAAGCUGUGCUAAUACCGCAUAAUCCCUAAGGGGGAAAGCGGGGGACCGUAAGGCCUCGCGCAAUUAGAGCGGCCGAUACCUGAUUAGCUAGUUGGUGAGGUAAAGGCUCACCAAGGCAACGAUCAGUAGCUGGUCUGAGAGGACGAUCAGCCACACUGGGACUGAGACACGGCCCAGACUCCUACGGGAGGCAGCAGUGGGGAAUUUUGGACAAUGGGCGCAAGCCUGAUCCAGCCAUGCCGCGUGCAGGAAGACGGUCCUAUGGAUUGUAAACUGCUUUUAUACAGGAAGAAACACACCCUCGUGAGGGUACUUGACGGUACUGUAUGAAUAAGCAUCGGCUAACUCCGUGCCAG
rnacentral:rRNA from 1 species